rnacentral:rRNA from 5 species
GAGUUUGAUCCUGGCUCAGAUUGAACGCUGGCGGCAUGCCUUACACAUGCAAGUCGAACGGCAGCACGGGAGCUUGCUCCUGGUGGCGAGUGGCGAACGGGUGAGUAAUGCAUCGGAACGUAUCCUGGAGUGGGGGAUAACGUAGCGAAAGUUACGCUAAUACCGCAUAUUCUGUGAGCAGGAAAGCGGGGGACCUUCGGGCCUCGCGCUCUUGGAGCGGCCGAUGUCGGAUUAGCUAGUUGGUGAGGUAAAGGCUCACCAAGGCGACGAUCCGUAGCAGGUCUGAGAGGAUGAUCUGCCACACUGGAACUGAGACACGGUCCAGACUCCUACGGGAGGCAGCAGUGGGGAAUUUUGGACAAUGGGGGCAACCCUGAUCCAGCCAUGCCGCGUGAGUGAAGAAGGCCUU